CUCCCACCUUAGAUAGCUCAAUCGGCAGAGCGGGAGAUGCUUGAUCUCAAGGUCUUGGGUUCGAGCACCACGUUGGGAGA